rnacentral:misc_RNA from 1 species
AACACACCUUGCGCUCUUUGGUAUUCCGAAGAGCAUGCCUGUUUGAGUGUCAUGAAAAUAUCAACCUUGACUUGGGUUUAGUGCUCUUGUCUUGGCUUGGAUUUGGCUGUUUGCCGCUCGAAAGAGUCGGCUCAGCUUAAAAGUAUUAGCUGGAUCUGUCUUUGAGACUUGGUUUGACUUGGCGUAAUAAGUUAUUUCGCUGAGGACAAUCUUCGGAUUGGCCGAGUUUCUGGGACGUUUGUCUGCUUUCUAAUACAAGUUCUAGCUUGCUAGACAUGACUUUUUUAUUAUCUGGCCUCAAAUCAGGUAGGACUACCCGCUGAACUUAA